rnacentral:rRNA from 1 species
UACAGAGGGUGCAAGCGUUGUUCGGAAUUACUGGGCGUAAAGCGCACGUAGGCGGCUUUGUAAGUUAGAGGUGAAAGCCCGGGGCUCAACCCCGGAAUAGCCUUUAAGACUGCAUCGCUUGAACACGGGAGAGGUGAGUGGAAUUCCGAGUGUAGAGGUGAAAUUCGUAGAUAUUCGGAAGAACACCAGUGGCGAAGGCGGCUCACUGGACCGUUGUUGACGCUGAGGUGCGAAAGCGUGGGGAGCAAACAGG